rnacentral:rRNA from 1 species
GACGAACGCUGGCGGCGUGCUUAACACAUGCAAGUCGAGCGGUAAGGCCCUUUCGGGGGUACACGAGCGGCGAACGGGUGAGUAACACGUGGGUGACCUGCCUUUAGCUCUGGGAUAAGCCUGGGAAACCGGGUCUAAUACCGGAUAUGACUCCGCGGCGCAUGUUGUGGGGUGGAAAGCCUUGUGCGGCUGGAGAUGGGCCCGCGGCCUAUCAGCUUGUUGGUGGGGUGAUGGCCUACCAAGGCGACGACGGUAGCCGCCUGAGAGGGCGACCGGCCACACUGGGACUGAGACACGGCCCAGA